AUACUCCCUUGGGAAGCACGUACACUAAAAUUGGAAUAAUGCAGAGAAGGUUAGCAUGGCACCUGCUUGAGGAUGGCCUGCAAAUUUGUGAAGUAUUCUGUAUUCUU